rnacentral:rRNA from 1 species
AACGAACGCUGGCGGCAUGCCUCAUACAUGCAAGUCGAACGAGGUCUUCGGACCUAGUGGCGCACGGGUGAGUAACAUGUGGGAAUCUACCUGAAGGUUCGGAAUAACUGCGGGAAACUGUAGCUAAUACCGGAUGUGUCUGCAAAGAGAAAGAUUUAUCGCCUUCAGAUGAGCCCGCACUAGAUUAGCUAGUUGGUGAGGUAAUUGCUCCACCAAGGCUACGAUCUAUAGCUGAUUUGAGAGGAUGAUCAGCCACACUGGGACUGAGACACGGCCCAGACUCCUACGGGAGGCAGCAGUAGGGAAUAUUGGACAAUGGGGGAAACCCUGAUCCAGCAAUGCCGCGUGAGUGAAGAAGGCCUUCGGGUUGUAAAGCUCUUUCAUCAAUGAUGAUAAUGACAUUAGUUGAAGAAGAAGCCCCGGCUAACUUCG